GCAGCUUUUGCCGAGAGAGGGCAAGGAUAGAUGGUCUCUUCCUGUUGAGAACAGCCACCUUGUAUGCACCGGCUGUCUCAUUUCCGUCUGCUGGACGGAGCAUCAAAAUGUUGGGCAUAGCUCGGAAACUUGCUAAAUGCUCAAUAGGCUGAUGAGUUGGUCCAUCUUCACCAAGACCAAUCGAGUCAUGGGUCAUAACAUAGAUAACUCCGGCUUCACUCAAGGCAGAAAUCCUUAUGGCUGCUCUCAUGUAGUCAGUGAACACAAAGAAAGUUGCACAGUAAGGAAUCAAGCCAGGGCUGUGAAGAGCGAUUCCAUUACAGAUGGCUCCCAUACUGUGUUCACGUACACCAAACCUCACAUUGCGCUCUUCAGGCGUGUUCUUUUGGAAAUCACCAAACAUUUUUAGAAGGGUCAUGUUAGACGAGGCAAGAUCAGCACUGCCACCAAGUAGACCAGGGAGAACCUUAGCAAGAGCAUUGAGGUUUUGUUGAGACAGAUUCCUGGUGGCAUCAGCUGGGCUCUCGGGAGUGUACGUCUGAAGAAAAGUUUAAAAGUCAAUAAGUCUUGACAGAAACAUAUAUUAGCAAAUGAAAAACUAUGAAUUUAUUUGACUAGAGAGGAACAUUUUCCCGUUGUCAGGAGAAAUAGCAGAGUAAAAGAGUAAGAAUUUGCACAUUCUGUACUCGUUGAUUCUUCAUAUUAUCAAGCAUGUCCCUAACUUCAAACAUUUCACAAAAAAAGGCUCAAAAGACAAGAUAAAGAAUAACAAAAGUGCCAAUGAAC
rnacentral:lncRNA from 1 species